GACGAACGCUGGCGGCGUGCUUAACACAUGCAAGUCGAACGGAAAGGCCCUGCUUUUGUGGGGUGCUCGAGUGGCGAACGGGUGAGUAACACGUGAGUAACCUGCCCUUGACUUUGGGAUAACUUCAGGAAACUGGGGCUAAUACCGGAUAGGAGCUCCUGCUGCAUGGUGGGGGUUGGAAAGUUUCGGCGGUUGGGGAUGGACUCGCGGCUUAUCAGCUUGUUGGUGGGGUAGUGGCUUACCAAGGCUUUGACGGGUAGCCGGCCUGAGAGGGUGACCGGGGUCGUGGGGACUGUAGGACGGCGCGGGGGGGUCUGGGGGACGCCGGUCGGGGGGAUUGCACAGUGAGGGGGGGUGCGUGCCGGCAGCGCCGGGAGCGGGGUGAGGGGCAACGUGGUGGAGAGCGCAUUCAGCGGAGACGAUGCGGGAGUGGCGGCGAUGAGAGCAGAAGCGCCGGCUAGCUACGCG
rnacentral:rRNA from 1 species